GACGUAGGGCGCGAGCGUUGUCCGGAUUGAUUGGGCGUAAAGAGCUCGUAGGCGGCUCGUUGCGUCGGCUGUGAAAACCCGCAGCUCAACUGUGGGCCUGCAGCUGAUACGGGCGGGCUGGAGUUCGGUAGGGGAGACUGGAAUUCCUGGUGCAGCGGUGAAAUGCGCAGAUAUCAGGAGGAACACCGGUGGCGAAGGCGGGUCUCUGGGCCGAUACUGACGCUGAGGAGCGAAAGCGUGGGGAGCGAACAGG
rnacentral:rRNA from 1 species